rnacentral:misc_RNA from 1 species
GCUAUCUCAGCAGAGACAGCCACAAUUAGCAACACUGCAACAGCAACAGGCUCAGCAACAACAACCCUAUACUAAUUACAUGGAACAGAGUUAUAGAAGUACAAGGAGAUAAAAUUCCAAGUGUUUUACACUGUACAUGUAUUUGACAUUUGAGUAUUAGACUGAUACAGAGUUCUCAAGAAGAAUUCUAUACGUGCUAUACUAAUGAAAUUUUUUUUCAUUGUCACGUUUCUGAAAUGCAUUGGAAAUGAAUAGAUUUGAUAGCAGAAUUCAUUGUUAAGUAAUAUUUAAAAUUUACUUACAUUUUCUUGAAACAAGGAUGAUGUACUGUGGUUUCAUUUAUAGUUGAUGGCAUCAAUUUUUGUGGAUGUAGCAAUAUUUCAGUUUUAAGGAUGGUAAAUUUAUGGACAAUGGACUUAGCAUUAAAUUAUUAUUA